rnacentral:rRNA from 1 species
UACGAAGGGGGCUAGCGUUGUUCGGAAUUAUUGGGCGUAAAGAGCGCGUAGGCGGCUUUUCAAGUCAGAAGUGAAAACCUGAGGCUUAACCUCAGAACUGCUUUUGAUACUGUAAAGCUAGAGUUUGGAAGAGGAUAGUGGAAUUCCUAGUGUAGAGGUGAAAUUCGUAGAUAUUAGGAGGAACACCAGUGGCGAAAGCGACUAUCUGGUACAUAACUGACGCUAAAGUGCGAAAGCGUGGGGAGCAAACAGG